rfam:Oreochromis niloticus linkage group LG19, whole genome shotgun sequence.
GUCAGGAUGGCCGAGUGGUCUAAGGCGCUGUGUUCAGGUCGCAGUCUCAUCUGGAGGCGUGGGUUCAAAUCCCACUUCUGACA